GAAAAAGGAAAUUGGGUUCAGAUGAUAUUACACCAUAUAUAUUCUUUGUCUUUUCGUUAUCUAUAUUCUGAGGAUAACAUCACAGAGAACACAAGAUUGGGAGAAAUACAGUGACCAUAAAGAUACAUUUAUGUGCAGAUUUCAAAUGUUGUAGCUGUAAGUUGGGUACGCCCAUCCGUUUGAUUUAUAUAUCACGUGGUGACCCUAUAGAAGGUGGCCCCAUUGAGAAAGUGGUCACAGAGAGGAAAGUAAAAAGAAACCUUUAUGGGAGGAACCUGCUUUACUUUAUUGUGAGUACGGUACAACAUUUUUUCGUUGGCAUUUACACUAUCCAUAGAGAUCCCUCACCCCUGAGAGAGAAAUCUGGACUAUACAAUAUAACACUAUAUAUAUUUUCUUUUGUUUCUCGUUACAUAUACUCUGAGGAAAACACCACGUGAAUAAUCAUACCCAAGGAGGAAGAAUUUCCCAAGAUGAACAUAUAAAUCUACUUACAGAGACUUGUGAACUUUACUAUGGUUGAUGAUGGAUAACAUUGGGAUAUGAGGUAGCGACAGUGGAUUGUCACCAACGGUCAAAGCUUUCAGCCUCCCAGCAUGCAACAGGCCUGUCCCUAUAUCCCCGCCUCCUGGCUCAGUGUUAAUCAUCAAUAAUGAGUAUAUGUUUUUCAAAAUGAAGAAAAGACAAAUAUUCACUUGAAUUGCAUGGCAACAUUCAAACUCUUUUUGAACAAGGCUAUACUCAUCGACAGAUUGCAAAAAACAAAGUAAAAAUGCGGUCUAGUGUAUACAUUAGCUCGAUACAAAGAAACAGGUACAAACGUGACUAAAAAAUGUUAGGGAAAAUAACUACAUUAUUGUAAUGAGUAAUCAAAACCAAAGACUCCCACAGCAACUUCAAUCAAAGAAGAACUCAAUGAAAUUAGGCAAACUCCAGUUGAUACAGUUAAAACAUUUGGGGUUGUAUUUGUGGAGGAAAGGUUGGAGAUUUAGUUUAAAUCACAUCAACUAUGGCUAAGAAAUUAUACUAUAGUAUUGUAGUACACCACACUGUACCAAGUGGAAUUCAAAAUAUUGGAAAGGGGUUCAUCAUGCAACAGGAUAAUAACCCUAAGCACACAUGUAAACUGGGUAUCAAUUUGAAAAGUAAUGAAAGGCAGAAAGUUCUACAAAUUAUGACACGGCCUCCUCAAGUCACUUGAUCUCAAUCCCAUUGAGAAACUCUGGGAUGAAUUGAACAGAAAAGUUUGUGUAAUGGCACCAACAAAUACAAACAAACUUACGGGGCCUGGAAAUGUGUAACUUAUGAAACUUUAGAGAAGUUGAUGUCUCAAAUUCCCAAAUUAUGUGAAGCAAUGAUAUGCGCCAAAGGACAUAUUGAUUAAAGCCAAAUUUAUUCUGAAAUGUAUGUAAUAC